ACUUCCAGCAGUAUUCUGCAGCAGACCCACCUUGGGAAAUGACCAAAUUGACCCCCCUAAGAAUGAGAAAUUACAAAACUACCUACACCCACCCUUCCUAUAAAUACAGAGCAACCUCUCAUAGUUUUCUCCACCCCAGAAAAGUCCAGAAACCCUCUGCCCAGAGCUCUUCCCUCCUCUCCUUCUGUCUCGCCAGUUCUGGCGUGUUCCAGAUUGGGUAAGCAAUCGUUUGUGGAAAAACCAAGGGAAACCAAGCCAACCGAAGCCAAACCCACCAGCUAAGGGAAAGUGUUAGUGAAGGAAUCUCUGAUUUGUGAGCCAUAGUUGAGGAGAUAUCACCCCACAAUUAAGAGUCCUUUUUAGUAAUUUUGCAGGUAUUGUGUAAGCUCGGAUGUGGAUUACAGAUGUGAUUGAGGAAGGAAUAAUUUUGCUGAAAUGUUUUGAGGCCAUCAAAGAUUAUGAUAGGUUAAGAUCUCUUGUGUAUUUAUAUUUGAUUAUAAGGGAUAAUUCAGGUUUUAUUUUGUAAAUUGGAUUCUAAGUGUAAUUAGUGAGAAAUAAGUAAUUCUAAAUAAGCAGCUCAAAAGUGUGGGCUGUUACAGGUGGUAUCAGAGCCAAGGUUGAUUUUGGGUUUGCUAUGAUCUUCAUAUCAUAGUAUAUGAGUUGAAAAUGGGUUAUUGAUU